UACGAAGGGGGCUAGCGUUGUUCGGAAUCACUGGGCGUAAAGCGCACGUAGGCGGAUCUUUAAGUCAGGGGGUGAAAUCCCGAGGCUCAACCUCGGAACUGCCUUUGAUACUGGGGAUCUCGAGUCCGGGAGAGGUGAGUGGAACUGCGAGUGUAGAGGUGAAAUUCGUAGAUAUUCGCAAGAACACCAGUGGCGAAGGCGGACUCACUGGCCCGGAACUGACGCUGAGGUGCGAAAGCGUGGGGAGCAACAGG
rnacentral:rRNA from 1 species